AGUGAACGCUGGCGGUAGGCCUAAAACAUGCAAGUCGAACGGUAGCACAGGAGAGCUUGCUCUCUGGGUGGCGAGUGGCGGACGGGUGAGGAAUACAUCGGAAUCUACUCUGUCGUGGGGGAUAACGUAGGGAAACUUACGCUAAUACCGCAUACGACCUACGGGUGAAAGCAGGGGACCUUCGGGCCUUGCGCGAUUGAAUGAGCCGAUGUCGGAUUAGCUAGUUGGCGGGGUAAAGGCCCACCAAGGCGACGAUCAGUAGCUGGUCUGAGAGGAUGAUCAGCCACACUGGAACUGAGACACGGUCCAGACUCCUACGGGAGGAAGCAGUGGUGAAUAUUGGACAAUGGGCGCAAGCCUGAUCCAGCCAUACCGCGUGGGUGAAGAAGGCCUUCGGGUUGUAAAGCCCUUUUGUUGGGAAAGAAAUCCAGCUGGCUAAUACCCGGUUGGGAUGACGGUACCCAAAGAAUAAGCACCGGCUAACUUCGUGCCAGCCGCCGCCGUAA
rnacentral:rRNA from 1 species